AUUGAACGCUGGCGGCAGGCCUAACACAUGCAAGUCGAACGGUAACAGGAAGAAGCUUGCUUCUUUGCUGACGAGUGGCGGACGGGUGAGUAAUGUCUGGGAAACUGCCUGAUGGAGGGGGAUAACUACUGGAAACGGUAGCUAAUACCGCAUAACGUCGCAAGACCAAAGAGGGGGACCUUCGGGCCUCUUGCCAUCGGAUGUUCCCAGAUGGGAUUAGCUAGUAGGUGGGGUAACGGCUCACCUAGGCGACGAUCCCUAGCUGGUCUGAGAGGAUGACCAGCCACACUGGAACUGAGACACGGUCCAGACUCCUACGGGAGGCAGCAGUGGGGAAUAUUGCACAAUGGGCGCAAGCCUGAUGCAGCCAUGCCGCGUGUAUGAAGAAGGCCUUCGGGUUGCAAAGUACUUUCAGCGGGGAGGAAGGGAGUAAAGUUAAUACCCUUGCUCAUUGACGUUACCCGCAGAAGAAGCACCGGCUAACUCCGUG
rnacentral:rRNA from 1 species